AUAGGGAGUGGCACGAUUAGGAGGUAUGGCUCUGUUGGUGUGUGUAUGGCCUUGUUGGAGGAAAUGUGUCUUUGUGGGAGUGGACUUUGAGGGUUCCUAUGCUCAGGAUACUGCUCAGUGAGUCAUUUUAACUUCCUGUUGCCUCUGAGUCAAGAUGCAGGACUCUCAGCUCCAGCACCAUGUCUACCCUAUAUGCCACCAUGCUCCCUGCCAUGAUGACAAUGGACUAAAUCCCUGAAACUGUAAGCAAGUGCCUCAGGAACUGCCGAAGAGGUUUCUCAAGCAUCCAUGCCAGCCACAUACGCCACACACUUGAGAUGCUCUCAAUCCCUGCAUCAGGUAUCGUGUGCCUUUCUAUAAGGAAGGAGAGAGCCAAGAAUGAAAACCCAACAUAGAAAACAACAGCCCAGAAAGAGAUGAAACCACAAACGUGAUUCCAGCCUGGGACACUCCUAGAAGUAGCUUUGGCAAGGAGGCUGCAAGGAACUUCUGGUGUACAGCGGGAACUUUAGAGCCCUCUGCCUAUGAAAGAUUCCUUGAGCAUUAAACUCAAAAGAGAACGAUGGGAACAAGC
ensembl:lncRNA